rnacentral:rRNA from 1 species
UACAGAGGGUGCGAGCGUUUAUCGGCAUUACUGGGCGUAAAGCGCACGCAGGUGGCGACGUAAGUCGGGUGUGAAAGCCCCGGGCUCAACCUGGGAAUUGCAUUCGAGACUGCAUUGCUGGAGUACGGAAGAGGAGGGCGGAAUUCCCGGUGUAGCGGUGAAAUGCGUAGAUAUCGGGAGGAACAUCAGUGGCGAAGGCGGCCCUCUGGUCCAGUACUGACACUCAAGUGCGAAAGCGUGGGGAGCAAACAGG